rnacentral:rRNA from 1 species
UACGUAGGGUGCAAGCGUUGUCCGGAAUUAUUGGGCGUAAAGGGCUCGUAGGCGGUCCGUCACGUCGGGAGUGAAAUCCUGGGGCUUAACCCCAGAACUGCUUCCGAUACGGGCAGACUAGAGGUAGGUAGGGGAGAAUGGAAUUCCUGGUGUAGCGGUGGAAUGCGCAGAUAUCAGGAGGAACACCAGUGGCGAAGGCGGUUCUCUGGGCCUUACCUGACGCUGAGGAGCGAAAGUGUGGGGAGCGAACAGG